rnacentral:ribozyme from 13 species
GGAAAAAAAAAAAAAAAAAAAAAAAAAAAAAAAAAA